GGCGGCGGGGGCGGGGCCUGGGCGGGGCCUGAAGGCGGUCCGGUGACGCGCUCAAAGCAGCACCCAAUCAAGGCCGUUAUGGCCGCCGGCUCCGCCCCUCCACCCCCGCCCCCGCGGGCUUCGUUCCGCCCCUUCCCGCCAGGCCACGCCCACCGCGGUGCCCGCCCCGGACGCGUGCGCAGAGCGCGCUUUCCCUCCCGCGGGAUGUGGACUCUCGGUCGGGCUUCCGGGUCCUCUCCUGGCUCUUCCGCGGUCGUUGUGUGGGCCGCGCCGGGCGCUGCGCCUCGUUAGGCUCCGGGUUCCUCCUCCGGGCAGUGGGACCACACGGCGCGUCCCCGGGGCUUCCGACGGGCUGGCUGCCCUGCCCGCCGUCUGUCCGGCCAGCCCCGCACGCGCGCUCGGGCUUCCUAGUGCGCAGCUGGAGCCACGCGGGUGCGCGCCGCCCCUUGGCCGGUGCAGGCUCUGGUCAGCCUCACCCCCUGGGACGACACUCAGAGCGGGGUCAGCUGGCGGGGCCUGAGUCUCCGCUUCCCAUCUGUGAAGGGGGCUGUCCCCACAAUGCCACGGGGGAGAGGUGGCUUAGAGAGGAUUCCGCGAUGGCCCAGGUCCACCAGCAGUCAUGUGGAUUCGAGAUCUGGCUGGACAUGCUGAUUCCGGCGGCCAGUGCGCCUGUCCUCUGCCCUGCCCCGCUGGUGGCACUUGUCUCAGCUGGUUGCUGCAAGGCAGGCAUGAAGCUCGGCUCGAAGCCACUUAACACAGCAGCAGAUCCUGGAAUGUGUAUCUGGGGAUCAGACUCGACACAGGGAGAUGUGAGCACAGCUGGAGCCAGACUUCGGCAGGAUUAAGGAAUCUGGAACAAAGAGGAGCCUGGGCUUCCGAAAGGGCGUGCCGGUCACCACUGUGACUGCGCUGUCCACCUCUUGGUUUUGGUGAACCAGACAACAGGCUUCAGAGCGAUACCCAACCCUUGGUUGUGUUGGUGAUCUUUCAUGGGUGACUGGGCCACCCAGGGGGUUCUUUAGGAUUAGUGGUUCCAAAAUAAGAUGAGGAUAAAAGGUUAGAAAGUGAAAUGAGAGACGAUGCGUGUGGGCACAUUGCGUGUCCGUCUGGAGGAUCAUGAGGGUCUAGGCAGGAAACCUCUGUAGCCAGUGAGCAGAGAGCUGCUGAGGACAAGUUUCUCUGUUGGGGCAGUUUCUUCCUGCCUUGAUUAUAAAGGCAGGAGGUGUAGAUUAUCCAGAGAUGAAAACACGGCUGGCUAGGAAGCAGGUGGUCACCCAGGGGUCACUUAGCAGUGGUUUAUUGAGCACCUGCUGCAUGCCUGGC
rnacentral:lncRNA from 1 species